rnacentral:rRNA from 1 species
AGUGAACGCUGGCGGUAGGCCUAACACAUGCAAGUCGAACGGCAGCACAGUAAGAGCUUGCUCUUACGGGUGGCGAGUGGCGGACGGGUGAGGAAUACAUCGGAAUCUACUUUUUCGUGGGGGAUAACGUAGGGAAACUUACGCUAAUACCGCAUACGACCUACGGGUGAAAGCAGGGGAUCUUCGGACCUUGCGCGAUUGAAUGAGCCGAUGUCGGAUUAGCUAGUUGGCGGGGUAAAGGCCCACCAAGGCGACGAUCCGUAGCUGGUCUGAGAGGAUGAUCGGCCACACUGGAACUGAAACACGGUCCAGACUCCUGCGGGAGGCAGCAGUGGGGAAUAUUGGACAAUGGGGGCAAGCCUGAUCCAGCCAUACCGCGUGGGUGAAGAAGGCCUUCGGGUUGUAAAGCCCUUUUGUUGGGAGAGAAAAGCAGCAGGUUAAUACCCCGCUGUUCUGACGGUACCCAAAGAAUAAGCACCGGCUAACUUCGUG